rnacentral:piRNA from 1 species
GCUAUCUAGGAGUUGUUAGAUGUUAUCUCAA